UACGAAGGGGGCUAGCGUUGUUCGGAAUUACUGGGCGUAAAGCGCGUGUAGGCGGGUCGUUAAGUCGGGGGUGAAAGCCCAGAGCUCAACUCUGGAACUGCCUUCGAUACUGGCGACCUGGACCCAAGUAGAGGCGAGUGGAAUUACGAGUGUAGAGGUGAAAUUCGUAGAUAUUCGUAGGAACACCAGUGGCGAAGGCGACUCGCUGGACUUGUGGUGACGCUGAGACGCGAAAGCGUGGGGAGCAAACAGG
rnacentral:rRNA from 1 species